rnacentral:rRNA from 1 species
CACGUAGGGCGCAAGCGUUGUCCGGAAUUAUUGGGCGUAAAGAGCUCGUAGGUGGUUUGUUACGUCUGCUGUGAAAACCUAGGGCUUAACCCUGGGCUUGCAGUGGAUACGGGCAGACUAGAGGUAGGUAGGGGAGAAUGGAAUUCCUGGUGUAGCGGUGAAAUGCGCAGAUAUCAGGAGGAACACCGGUGGCGAAGGCGGGUCUCUGGGCAGUAACUGACGCUGAGGAGCGAAAGCGUGGGUAGCAAACAGG